CCUACGGGGGGCUGCAGUGAGGAAUAUUGGUCAAUGGACGAGAGUCUGAACCAGCCAAGUAGCGUGAAGGAUGACUGCCCUAUGGGUUGUAAACUUCUUUUAUAUGGGAAUAAAAUGUUCCACGUGUGGGAUUUUGUAUGUACCAUAUGAAUAAGGAUCGGCUAACUCCGUGCCAGCAGCCGCGGUAAUACGGAGGAUCCGAGCGUUAUCCGGAUUUAUUGGGUUUAAAGGGAGCGUAGGUGGAUUGUUAAGUCAGUUGUGAAAGUUUGCGGCUCAACCAUAAAAUUGCAGUUGAAACUGGCAGUCUUGAGUACAGUAGAGGUGGGCGGAAUUCGUGGUGUAGCGGUGAAAUGCUUAGAUAUCACGAAGAACUCCGAUUGCGAAGGCAGUUCACUGGACUGCAACUGACACUGAGGCUCGAAAGUGUGGGUAUCAAACAGGAUUAGAUACCCGUGUAGUC
rnacentral:rRNA from 1 species